AUCCGUAAAACACAUCCCUCAAAUAUUGGGUUUCCUAAAACAAUUGGCCUCCACUCUUCUUUCCUUCCAACCCUUUCCAUUUUUGCUUUGUUUCUGCUUUGGAUGAUCAAAGGAUUCCAUCUCCUGUUGUUGUGGAUCAUUUAAUAUUAUGCUGUGAGAUUCUUGCAAAGUUGGAUUUCAUCUAUCGUUAGUAAGUGUGCCCUUUUCAGCUCUACUCCCUUCCCCUUUAUUUUUGCUUCUGACAUCUUUGUUCAUAGCUGAUUUCUCCGGUACAAUGAACUCAGUUCAUUUCUCCAGGUGGUGCUCGCCUGGGGUGCCUUGGAAGCUGCAUUCCGCCACUUCCAACUGGGAAUAAGUGUCUCCUCCAGGUUCACUCGCUUGAACCUUGUAACCCCCAAAUUGCUGAGUCCUUGUUGUUUUUAGCUGAGAUAGCCAUGUCUAUUUAGCAUUUCACAUCUUUUAUCACCUCUGUGGCUUUUGUAAAUUCUGUUAUUGUGAAUAAACUUUAUAUUGUAGCCUCCCCUUCCCCAUUAUCUCCUUAAGGAAGAUAUCCUUAAAUAUGGGAUUUGACUUUUAUCACUGUUUAAGAUUCUCCUUCCGUGUGGUUCAAGGCUUUUGAAAUCUUCAUAUCUGCAAGUCCCCUGUUCUAUUGCUUUGUUUGCUAGGUAGUCAGCAAGUUGAUUUCCCUCCCUCAAAAUGUGUUGAACUGUAUAUUGUUUAUCUUGUAAGCAUGUUUUGAUUUCUUCCACAAUAUCUGAAAGUGACCAUGGGGUGACCCAUUUUCCUUUUAGCACUUCGCACAUUAACAUAGAAUCAGUUUGAAUAAUGACCUGAUUAUAUUGAGAGGUCUUGCAAUGUUUGCUGGCUUCUAAAAUUGCUACUGCUUCUGCCAUAGUACUUGUUGUAUUUUCAAUCUUGGCACCUUCUGCAAAUAUAAUGUCUCCAUUCUCAUCUCUUAGACAGUAGGCAUAUGAACUCAAUCCAUAACAUCCUUUAGCUGCACCAUCCGUGUUAUAUUUGAUCCAUCCAGCCGGUGGGCAUUCCCAUUUAACCUGAACGACCUUAAUUUUAGGCUUAUAUUCCUCUAGUUCCUUAAGUAUUUCUGGCCAGCUUCCUCCUCUCAUGGUAGGCCUCUUCACUUUAGCUAACAUAUUCAAGUGCCUGGUCACAUUGUGAAUUAUUCUGGGAAGUGAAGUGCUUUUUCCUUCAUGCUUCUGUUUGUUCCUUCUUUUCCACAGUUCCCAAAUUAUAAAUCAUGGAAUAGCUCUAUAAUAAGGUCUCAUAUCUGUCUUAAUGUUUGCACCCCCACCAUAACAUUAUAACUUCCCUUAGUUGCAAUCCUGUAAUGUUUAGACCUGCAAAAAGAACAAAAGUAGGACCAAGUCCUGUUAGCAAUUUCUGAUUUUCGAAACACAUGUGAUAGUGUUUCUUGAUCAGGUUUAUCACAACACCAGCAUCUUGAAGGUCCUUCAAGGCCCCACCUUCUCAGCCUAUCAUCCAUAGGGAUUUUGAACUUCCACAACCUCCACAUCAUAAAGGCUACUUUGAAAGGAGUCCCCUUAGUCUAAAUCCACCUAUGUAUUAUAUUUGGUUCCUCCUUGUGCCUUAUUUAGUUCCAUGCUUUUUUGACUGAGAAAACACCCCUCGUAUCUAACAUCCAACAAGGUUUGUCAUCUGUGUUACCUUUAGGGGGCUUGGUUUGGCUUAUGAUGUGUUCAACAUAUUCUGCUGGCAGUGUUUCAUUCAAUAAAUCCAUAUCCCAUUCCCCAUUUUUUGUUAGAUCCCUAACUACUUCAUACCUUUCAUCCCAUGCAAAGUUUUCCCCCGUAAUUGUAUACAGGUCCCCCAGUCCUGUCCAGUUAUCGUGCCAUAGUGAAGCUGAUCCAUUCUUAGUUUGCCAGAGUAUUUGAUGCUGAUUAGAUCUCUUGCUUGUAGCAUUUUCUUCCACACUUGUGAACCUCCUCCUCCUACUUUCCACAUGACCAGAUUCUGAUUCUUUGACUUGCAAUAUUUGUUUCUCAUGUAUUCACUCUAUAAAGACUUCUUUGUUCUAUAAUUCCACCAAAGCUUACAAAACAAAGCCAUUGAAAUAUCAUGCAUUAGUCUAAAACCUAUCCCUCCUUCCUGCUCUGGUAGACAUAGGUUUCCCCAUUUACUCCAAUGUCUGCCUCUUCCUCCUACGCAACUACUCCAAAAGAAUUGAGCCAUCAUUUUUUGCACAUCAGUUAAGACAUUGCUGGGAGGAUUCAUGACUGAUAAACAAUGUAUAGGAAUACUCUGUAGUACAUGUUUAAUUAGAACUGCUCGUCCCCCAUAAGAUAAUAACUUACCUUUCCAUCCUUGUAUUUUAGCUCCUAUCCUUUGAAUCAACUGUUUAUAGUACGUUUUUUGCUUUCUCUUGUAAAAGAUAGGGCAGCCUAAAUACGUAAAAGGAAAUUCUUUCCUUAGGAUUCCUGUUGCUACUUCUGCUACCACUGAUUCUCCUCUGUUGACACUAUGGUGCAAGUAGAUUGCACUUUUGUCUUUAUUCACCUUUUGUCCAGAUAUCUCUUCAUACUUCUGCAAUGUUUCGCUGACCAUUUUCAUUGUGCCUACCUCCGCUUUACAUAAUAUGAUCAUAUCGUCCGCAAACGCUAAAUGAUUUAGCUUCAAGCUUCCUCUUGGCAUACCAAAUCUUUUAAACUCUUUCUUUAUCAUUAGGGCGUUUAGGGCUCUAGACAUCACUUCUGCUGCCAAUAUAAAAAGAGUGGGUGAUAAAGGGUCACCCUGUUUGAGACCUCUUGAGGAUUUGAAAAAACCUUUCGGCUGUCCAUUUAGCAAAACUGAGUACCAGUUGUUGCUAAUCAGUCUAAACACCAUAUCAAUUAUUCUAUCCCCAAAUCCCAGUCUCCUCAUCACCUUUGUUAGAAAAAGCCACUCAACUCUGUCAUAAGCUUUCAUCAUAUCCAACUUAAUAACUAAAUUAGGUGGUGUUCCCCUUUUUCUUAUUUCUGAAAUUAUUUCUUGAACCAGUAAUACAUUCUCUGCUAUACUUCUCCCUUGUACAAAUCCUGCUUGUUCCGGAGAGAUGAUUUGAGGGAGUACUUCUUUAAUUCUCUCAUGGAUAAUUCAUGAAAAAAUUUUGUUCACAAAAUUACUCAGAGAAAUAGGCCUCAAAUCUGAAAAUGUACUAAACAACAUCUUCUUUGGAAUAAGGACUAGAUUUGUGUGUGUGAUGUACCUAGGUAGUUCAGCUCCACAGAAAAAAGCUAUAGUCAUUUUAUGAAUGUCAUUCCCAAUGAUUUCCCAAGUACUUUGAUAGAAGGCCCCUGUCAUCCCAUCUGGUCCUCCUGCACUAUUUUGAUUUAGCCCCAUAACCGCUUUUUUGACCUCUUCUAUCGUUGGCACUCUCUGCAUCUCCUCAUUCCUAUCUCCACUUACUACUUGUGGUAGUUCAUUCAGCAUUUCAUAAUCUCCACUGGCCUCUAGCAUUUUGAAUUGUUUGGUAUAAAAUUCCACUGCUGCUCCUGCUAUAUCCUCUUGAUCCUCUAUCCACUCCCCUUCCUCACUUUGAAUUCUGUUUACAUGCAGCCUAUUUCUUCUACCUUUCACAAUGGUAUGGAAAAAAUUUGUAUUUCUCUCUCCAUCCUUAAACCACUCCAUUCCAGCUUUUUGUUUCCAGAAUUCUUCUUCUCUAUGAAGUUGUUUUUUUAAUGCUGCCUGUGCUUUAUGUAGCGUUUCCCGAUUUAAUCCUGUUGGAUUUGCUUCAAAUAUUAUCUUUUUUACUUUAAUGAUCUCUUCUAAAGUAGCUAUCUCUUGAAAAAUGUUGCCAAAGGUCUCUUUACUCCACUGCGUUAAUGCUCGCUUGACCCUUUUUAGUUUAUGAUGAAAUACACUAAACGGAUCCCCUUCAAAGUCCGCUUUCCAAUGGUCUUGCACUACUCCCUUGAAAGAUUCUUCCUGUAUCCAGAAAUUCAAAAAUCUGAAUGGUUUACUAACUCUCUCGUUGGUCACUUUGAAUGAGAUCAAUAAUGGCGUAUGAUCGGACCCACUCCUUAUGAGGUGUUCAAUUUCUACUACUGGAAAUAUAUUAUGUAAUUUAUCGUUACACAACACUCUAUCCAGUCUUUUAAAAAUGCAUUCUUCAUCAGUUCUACCAUUCCACCACGUGUACUUGCUUCCUUUGAAUCCCUUAUCCUCCAAGUUGCACAUGUUUAUACAGUGGUUAAAGUCUCUACUUUCUGAGUCUGUCACUGGUCUUCCCCUUAGUUUUUCCUCUUCAUUGCUAAUAACAUUAAAAUCGCCUCCUACCAUCCAUGGUAUCGUGCUAUUAUUUGCCAUCUCAUACAUCGACUCCCACAGUUGUAGUCUUUCUAGUUGUGUGCAUUUAGCAUAUACCAAAGAUAUUAGAACUUCAAUGCCCAAUCCUUGAUUCUUCAAUUUGACAGUUAACAUCUGCUCUUCAUCUCUAAUCAGUUCGAUUUCCAUAAUCUCAUCAAUAAAAGCCCAUAUCUUGCCAUUAGUACUAGCUACUGCCUGUUUCUUACCCAAUCUUCUUGUAAACUCCUCUAGUCCUUGAUUAUCUUCAAAAGGUUCCAUUAAUCCAAUGAAAUAAAAUUGAUAUCUCUUAUGGAGAUUUAUAAGUCUUGUAAACGCUUUUUGAGUGUUUACUGACCUAAUAUUCCAUAUUAAAGCCUUCAUUGAUAUUUGGAAUUUUUGACAAUCGUUCUCUUCGAUUGUCUAGAUGCUGCUUGAGCCUUUGAAAGAUUUUCUUCACUUUGUUCCCUUUGUUUUGUAUAUUUUCCUUUGAGCUUCCCUGUAUGUUUAGGCGAUAAAUCACCUUCCACUGCCAUUUGACUUAUAUUUUGGGAUAAGUCGUCCUUCUCUACUUCCCUUACACUUUGUUCUGAAAGCUGCUGUAAUUCCUUCUUUCCUUCUUCUCUCCCCUGUUCAUCUUCCAUUUGAAAAGCCAGUGGUAAUAUUUCCUCAAUACUCACUUCUGCCACCACUAUAGUACCUUCAUUGAUUUCAAUAUCUCCACUUCCCUCCAUUAGCUUUUCUUCCGCCUUUUCUUUAUCUGCUUCUUUCACUUGCAUUCCUUGCUUACCCUCUGCCUCAAUUUUCUUACCCAUGUCCUCUUUGUGAAUCUCCUUCAUUUCCCCUUUGUCGUUUUUCUCCUUGUGGACAAAUGUUUUGUUCACCCACUCUUUAGUACUGUCUUUUUCCCUUGUAUCUUCAUUGUUAUUUUCUAUAUCUAUUACUUCUGUGUCCCUUAGUGCUUCAAAAUUAUUUUUAUCCUGAUAGUCGAUCUCCCCUUCUAUAUGCCCGUAUUUGUCCCUCUUGUACUUAUUCCUUCUCCUUACCAUCCAUUCUUGUCUAUUUUGCCUGUUUCCUACCACUUUCCCACUAGUUAAUGUUCUUCUUUGAUCUGCUGCAGUACCCAUCCUGUUUUGCAUGCUAUCUUGUCUUUCAUGUUGCCUUACUUCUUCACUCUUUACUUCAUACAACUCUGGGUGAAUUGUCCAGCAACUUUGUUCGUCAUGGCCUUGUAAACAACAUUCUUUGCAAUAUUUAGGCAUGUGAUCAUAUUGCACUUUAAUCCACUUGGAUUUUGUCACUCCUGUAACAUCAUCUUCUUCAUUGAUUUUUACUCUCUGGGGUAACUUUGCAGUCAAAUCCACCUCAACUUUUACUCUAGCACAACUUGGUCUUGUCUAAUUCUUUGUUGCCAUGUCCACUGUUAGGGGUCUGCGUACUGCACUUGCUAUUGAGAAGAUAGCCUCCUUAGCAAAAAAAUUUGGUGGUAGAUCUGGGAAUGAUAUCCAUGCCACUCCAAUCGUUGUUUCUACAUCAGGUUCGAACCAUGGAUCCCAUUUAAGGGUACGCAUUUGCCAGUAAUUCUCCUUCACAUUAAUAUAAAACGCUGCUGACGAUAAAACAUGCACAUAAUCCUCGAUCAUUGUAAGUCUGAUCAGUAUGUGCCUUGUAUCCAGAACUCCUAUCGAGCAAUCACCUUUGAUACCACACUGACUCGGGAUCGCCUUCCUCAGUUCUGCAAUAUCUGGUUUGCCAUACGAAAAUUUCCCUAUAAUUGCAAAUUGCAGGUUUUCCUUCAUGAUUAGCAAUCUAACUUCGGACGUCUUCCAUGUAAUGCUUGGUUCCCCUUGUAGAAUUAUCACUGGUUUAGUCGGUAUCACUGGGAUUUGAUGCAUUACAAUUUUGGGUUUAAGCAGGUUGACAUAUUGGAUCUUGUUUGGAUCUGGAUGGGUGGUUUGGUUUUCCGUGAUGAUUGUUUUAGUUAGAGGUGGGAAAUCCUCCGGUGGGAGGCUCCCACCGAUGGUGUUGACUGUCAUGUGGCCGGCGCUUUUCGUAAGGUCCCUCGUGGUCCUUCAAUAACACUAUUUUUCAUUUUUACUCUUAUUAUUGAUAUUUUGUUAUUAUAAUCUCGACAAUCAUCAGUUAUCACUGUUACUUCAUUUCAUGAUCAUCUUAAUAUAAUUAAUAUCGUUCUAAUCGUUUCUUUAAAUUACAAUGAUUAUCAUUAGUUUCAUUAUUAGAAUUAUUACUUUACUAAUAUUUUAUAUGCAUAUUUUUCAAUGUAUCAUAGUUAAAUUAUUGGGAAAAGUACACUUGUUACCUCAAAAAGAAAAACUAUUUACAAGCGGCUACUCCCGUACUUUCAUUCCCCCUAUUUUUAAUUACUAAAACGGAUUAAUAUAUUAUGAUAAUAUCAAAGAGAAAGAAACAGUGUUUCAGUGAAAACACUACUCAAUUAUUUAUUGAUACCAUUAGAGUAUAUAAUAUAUACUAUGGUGGCAUCAAAGAGGAACAUGCAGUGUUCCUGUGAAAAUACUACUGCUCAAUUACCGUGUGAUACAAUUAGAAUAUAUAGAUCUAUCAAGGAUGAUAAAGCAAUGGUUCAAUGGUCCAUUUUUCACAAUUUGGAUUUGUCACGACCAAAAACGAGUCAUGAGUGGCACCCACACUUAACCUCCUAGGUGAGCGAACCAACGAAUUCAACCUCAACUUAUAUCAAUUGUUCAACUUACGGAAAUCAACCAUAAUGCAGAAGCUCAAAACUUUUUAAAGUAACCAAUAAAAGAAACCUCUAGAGUCUAUUACAUAUUAUCCCAAAAUUUGAAAGACAUCACAUCAAGGACAUCUAUUCUCAAAAUACCAAGUCUAAGAGUAUUAAAGACACCAAAAUAAAUAAUUAGGAUAGUCUAUGACCGAAAUUUAAGGACAUCAUGCCAUGACUGAGAUAAUCCAGAACGAGCUAGAGGGAAUAACUCACCCUGAAAUUUGAUGUGCUGGAGACUAGCUAGAGCUGAGGGGUAAUCAAAGUCGAUGGUACACUUGAUGCACUCCACAAAAGAAAAUGAAGAAAAUGUAACACCUCGCUAUUUGAAAGAAGUAGAAAGAACUAGAAUUUGGAAGAAACCGUUUUUGGAAAUAAUCAAAUUUGGAAAGUUUGACAAUUAAGCCAAGGAUGAGUUUUGGUCAACUUCAAACGACCAUAACUCGUAGCUCAGGAUGAGUUAGGUGUGAUACAAGAUACCGUAGGAAAGAUCUUUGAAUUAUCUUUCCAACGCCACCAAGUUUGCUCAAUUCCGAGUUAGUAUGAAGGAGAUAUGGAUAUUCAAAGUUGGGCUGUCUAGUUAAGGAAAGUCAAAACCGGAUUUUUGAAGGGUAUUUUGGUCUUUUCACUACCCAAUUAAUUAAAUUCGUUUUUGGUAAUUAAGUUGGGGUCUCAACUGAUGGGAUUCAGUUUACGCUUUACAAAUUAAGUUAGGGUUUUGAGAGAAGAGAAAAUAAAAGGAGAAAGGAGAAAGGAGGAGAAGAAGUAGCAAGGAUUUGUCACGUUCUUGAAGUUAAGCUUGUGAAUUUCUCCAAGGGUUGAUCCCUACGAGGUAUGUGAGAUCACAUAGCGUUGGGUUAGUUCACCCACGUACCAAUCAUGAUUCAAUUCAGCAAAAUUGUGUUCUUGAAAGAAAAGAUAUGAGUCUUGAUGAAAUUUGUUUAAGUUCUUGUGGGUUCUUGUUGUUGAAGUUAUUGAGAAGUUUCUUUAGUUUGAUUCAUUAUAUUACGUGUUGUUUUAAGUAGAUUCUUACAUAUUUUGGUUAUGUAGUCGAACCUAAAUGUUUGAGAAAAGAGUCAAUUGAAUCUAAAGGGUUUAGAGUUGAAACACAACCAAGAAAAAUCGUCAAAAAUCUGGGAAAGGGUGGGGCACCGCGCCACUCAGAGCGCCCCACAUCAUGCGCUAAAGUUUGUCCUCUAGGGAGCCGCACCAGCCAGUGCACCCCAAGCCAGUGUCUGAAGUUUACCCUCUGGCGUCCCGCGCCACUCAGAGCGCCAGAGAUACCAGGUCUUCAAACUUUUCCCACUUCUUUCCGUUUGUGUUCCCUAGCAACGUACAUAAGUUUUCUAGCUGAUUUCUAUACUCUAAGGUACGUCUAAACAUCAUGAAAUCAUCCAUAACCAUGAGAUCAUGAGCCUUGAAUCCAUAAUUCAAUUCAAGGAAAGUUAAGAGUCGAGUUAAGAGAAGUUCAUAGAGUCUCCCAAAAGUCUUUUACAAAUGUUUUGACUUUGUUUUAAGGCUUGAGUUUUGAGAUGAGUAAAGAGUAAGAGUAAAGUUCAUUUCUUCAAAAGAUUAUACGGGAACUAAGUAUUCCCAAGAGUUAAAACGUUCUUACAUUUAAACAAGAAAGGAAACACCAAUUUCCAAGAGAGCUUUUAAUCUAGUUUCUGAGUAAGCACCUCAAAUCACAAAAAAAGAGUUUUGUUUUUAAAACAUAUGCGUUGAGUAUAUUUUGGGAGUAGUAUUGAGCACUUAUAUGGGGACGAGUUCAUAAUAAAUCAAGUCUCCAUAAACCAUGUAGCCAUCGUGGGUAGAAAGAGUCAUACUUUUUAGAUGAUUCAUUAAUGCUAUUUAGCAUAGACUAGUGAAUCCACUUAGUUGAGGUGUUCUAUAUCAUAGCAAGUUAUAGGAUAGUCUAGGCAGCGUGGGCGAGACGUUGUAUCAUCACAUUAUCUCAUAGUGAUGGUUGUCGGUUAGAGAAACUCCUAUAGUAUUAUAUUACUUUAUAUGUAAUCUGAGUUGUUAUUGUAUUUCUUUAACACAUUGAGUUGUCACCAACUGUUUUAAAUGCUUUGUAUUAACUACACCUUUAUUGUUAUUUUACUUUGCAUUUGAGUUUAAUAUUCAUGAAUUGAGUAAAGCUAAGGUAAGUGUUCUUUUUAGAUUCCUUUCAAGCUUAUGUCAUAUUUAGUUUUCCCCUCGCAUGCUCGUACAUUCAAUGUACUGAUGCCUUUUGUCCUACAUCGCUUUAUGAUGAAGAUACAGGAAAUCACGAUCAAAAUCCAGUGCCUCGUUGAUCCAGUUGAGCAUCUCAGAGUCAGUUGGUGAUCCUCCUUACUUCUGGAGGAUUCCCUAUUUACAUUGCUUUAGUAGUUUUCAGUUUGUUAGGAUGAUUGGGGGUCUUGUCCUGACAUCCUUCCCAGUUUUUAGAGGGUUCAUAGAUAGAUAGUUAGUUAGAUCAUUUGUCACUAUUUGUUAUUGGCUUAUGUUUUGAUACGUGAGUUGCCAUCUUGGAUAGUUAAAUGUUCUUUUAAGACAUUCUAAGUUUAUUUUAUGAGUUCAUCAUUUGAUACUAUUUUCUUGUGUUUAAGUCUUCCGCUGAGUAAGUAAGCCAGACCAAGGGUUCACUUGGGGCCAUCAAUGCUUCUCGAGUGCCUGUCCCGCCCAGGGUGUAGGCUCGGGGCGUGACAAACUUGGUAUCAGAGAACAUAGUUCAAGAGUCCUAAUGAGUCUAUAAAGUCGUGUCUGUAGAGUCAUGGUUAUCAAUGUGAAGCAAGCCACAUCUAUAAUUAGAAGGCUGCAACAUUUAGGAAAUUCCUUUACUUCUUUCAUGCUCAUUUCUUUCGAUAGAGUUUAUCUCUAUAAAGUUUCUUUAUAAAUCGUGCUUGUGUGUGUCUUUCAGUUGAUUAUGCCUCUAUGAAGAGCUGUCCGAGGUCGUUUUGCUAGAAGGAACGUUGAGGAGCAAAGGGUACCUAACGAACCAGAAGUGCAACCCCAAGGAGAGGUCACAAAUGCUAAAUUUCAAGAAGCAAUCCGAAUGCUAAGUCAAGUAGUGACUAACCAAGUUGGGCAUCAAAGAGGGGCUCGACAGGAAGAGGUUGAUACUUCAAGGAUCCACGAGUUCUUGAGGAUGAAUCCUCCAAACUUCACUGGUUCAAGCACUACUGAGGAUCCGGAAAAUUUUGUUAAGAAACUGCAAAAUGUGUUUGAGGUUAUGCACGUUGCUGAUGCUGAGUGAGUGGAACUAGCUGCAUAUCAACUGAAGAGUGUUGCUAGGACUUGGUUUGACCAGUGGAAGAAAAGUAUGGCUGAAGAUGCACCGAUUUUGAGUUGGGCUAUGUGCGAGAGUGUUUUCUUGGGGUGUUUCUUCCCCGUGAAAUGAGAGAAGCCAAUGUGUGAGAAUUCCUUACCCUUAAGCAGGAUUCACUAAGUGUUCAUGAGUAUAGUUUGAAGUUCACCCAAUUUUCCCGAUAUGGUUGCGGAUAUGAGGAGCAAAGUGAGUCUAUUUGUUGUUGAGUUGUCUCGUCUGUUAAGUAAAGAGGGCAAGGCAGCUAUGCUAAUAGGGAACAUAGACAUCGCGAGCCUUAUGGUAUAUGUGCAGCAGGUUGAAGAAGAGAAGCUGAGGAAUAUGAAAUAGUUUAGAAACAAGAAAGCUAAGACAUGGAAUGAGUACGGGCACCAAAUGAGUAAUGUGAAUAGUUCUUCCUUUCAAUAAAAGAAAAAGGGACCUGCUCCAUCAUCUGCUAGUGCACCUGCACUAAGAAACAAAUGUGAGUACAAUAGUCAGAAUUCACAACACUUUAGAGUUAGACUUGCACAGUCUCAAGGUAGUGUGGCACAAUGAGGUAACUGGGCUUCUGCAUGUGCUAAGUGUAGUAGGAACCACCCGGUUAAGUGUUGUGAUGUCUCCACUGGUAUUUUCAAGUGUGGUCAAGAGGGUCACUUCAUGAAAGAGUGCCCUAAGAACCGACAAGGUAAUGGGAAUCAAGUCAACAGAGCCCAGUCUUUAUCAGUUGCUCCACCAGACAGGGCUGCACCUAGAAGAGCUACAUCAGGUACUGGCGGAGGAUAAAACCGCCUAUAUGGUAUCACUAGCCGCUAAGAGCAAGAGGAUUCGGCAGAUGUUGUCACUUGUAUGAUCAAAGUCUUUACUCUUGAUGUUUAUGCAUUCCUAGACCCAUGAGCAAGUUUAUCUUUUGUGACUCCUUAUGUUGCAAUGAAUUUUGAUGUUCUUCUUGAGAAACUUUGUGAUCCCUUUUGUGUUUCUACACUUGUUGGGGAGUCUAUUCUAGCUGAAAGAGUCUAUCGUGAUUGUACCAUUUUCGUCAAUCAGAAAAAAACACCAUGGAUGAUUUAGUUGAGUUAAACAUGGUUGAUUUUGAUGUUAUUCUAGGUAUGAACUGGCUUCAUGCAUGUUAUGCCUCCAUUGAUUGUAGAACUCGAGUUGUCAAGUUCCAGUUUCCUAAUGAGCCAGUUAUAGAGUUGAGUAGUAGUUCAACAUUGCCUAAGGGUCAUUUUAUUUCGUGCCUUAAGGAGAGACAGUUAGUUUUCAAGGGUUGUGUCUAUCACUUAGUCCGAGUUAAUAAUUCUAGUGUUGAGACACCUCCUCUUGAGUCAGUUCUAGUUGUGAGUGAGUUUCCAGACGUCUUUCCUGAUGAUCUACCCGGAGUCCCUCCUGUGAGAGAAAUAGACUUCGGUAUAGAUAUUCUUCUUGAUACUCGUCGUAUAUCUAUUCCGCCAUAUAAAAUGGAACCAUUAGAGUUAAAAGAGUUAAAAGAGUAGUAGAAAGAUCUCGUUGACGAGGGUUUUAUUCGACCAAAUGUCUCACCUUGGGGCACUCCGAUCUUAUUUGUGAGGAAGAAAGACGGUUCCCUUAGAAUGUGUAUAGAUUACCGUUAGUUGAACAAGGUUACUACCAAGAAUAAGUAUCCUCUUCGGAGAAUUGAUGAUCUUUUCGAUCAGCUUUAUGGUGCUACUUGUUUCUCUAAGAUAGACCUCAGAUCUGGCUACCAUCAGUUUAGAGUAAGGGAAUGUGAUAUUCCAAAGACAACUUUCAGGACCCGUUAUGGUCAUUAUGAGUUUCUGGUCAUGUCGUUCGAUUUGACUAAUGCGCUUGCAACAUUUAUGGACCUUAUGAAUAGAGUAUUCAAGCCCUAUUUAGAUAUGUUUAUUAUCGUGUUCAUUAAUGACAUUAUAAUAUAUUCGAGGAAUGAGAAAGAUCAUGCUAGCCAUCUCAGAAUUGUCCUCCAAACUCUAAAGGAUAGGGAGUUGUAUGCUAAGUUCUCUAAAUGUGAGUUUUGGCUUAAGUCUGUGACAUUCUUGGGUCACAUUGUUUUUGGUGAUGGGAUUAGAAUUGACACUCAGAAAAUAGAGGUAGUGCAGAAUUGGCCUAGGACCACAUCUCCAACUGAUAUUAGGAGUUUCUUGGGGUUGGCUUGAUAUUAUAAAAGGUUCGUAGAGGGGUUCUCAUCUAUUUUGUACCCUUUGACCAAGUUGACUCAGAAAACAGUGAAGUUUCAAUGGUCUGAAGCUUGUGAGAAAAGCUUUCAAGAAUUGAAAAGGCGAUUGACUACUGCCCCAGUAUUCACCUUACCAGAAGGUACUCAAGGCUUUGUUGUGUAUUGUGAUGCUUCCAGAGUUGGUUUGGGUUGUGUGUUAGUGUAGAAUGGUAAAGUUAUAGCUUAUACCUCCAGGCAGCUGAAAGUUCACGAGAAGAAUUAUCCAACCCAUGAUCUAGAGUUGGCUGCCGUAGUAUUUGCUUUGAAAAUAUGGCAUCAUUAUCUCUUUGGUGUUCAUGUGGAUGUGUUCACCGAUCACAGGAGUCUUACGUAUGUGUUUAGUCAGAAAGAGCUUAAUCUCAGACACAUUAGGUGGUUAGAGUUACUCAAGGAUUAUGACAUGAGUAUUCUUUAUCACCUAGGAAAGGCUAACAUUGUUGUUGAUCCCUUGAGUAGAUUGUCUAUGGGUAGUACCACCCAUUUUGAGGAAGGUAAUCAAGAGUUAGCAAAAGAUGUGCAUAGACUUGCACGAUUAGAAGUUCGACUGAUGGAUUCCACAGAAGGAGGAGUAGUUGUGAUGGAUGGGGCUGAAUCUUCAUUAGUGUUAGAAGUGAAAGAAAAGCAAGUCUAAGAUCCUAUUUUGCUUGAAUUGAAGACAAAUGUUCAUAAGGAAAAGUAAUGGCUUUUGAACAAGGGGGAGAUGGCGUAUUGAGGUAUCAAGGUAGGUUGUGUGUAGCAAGUGAUGUGAGGUCAAAAAUACAUAUUUUUAAUCAUUAUAUGCCUCACAUUUAUUAUUUAUUUUGUCCUUUUUGAGCAUGAAAUUUAUGGAUUGUGCUUAAUGGUAUUUUUUUUGUAGGAUUAAAUUGAUGGAAAAAUGAAGAAGUUUAGAGCUAAAACGAACAAAAGAUGGAAGAUUGAAGAAGGAAAUCAAGCAUACAACUUAAUAGAUUAAAUUCAAUAUUAUAAUAUAUAAAUAUAUUAAUUGCAGUUAGUUGUAACAAAUAGCGAAAAUCCAAGAAUCCUUGCUACCAUGUGGCAGCAGUUAAAUGCAACAUUAGCGGCAGAUUUGUGAGGCGGUUACUGUCCUGCGUGAAAUAGAAAUUCUAAUUCCGCUUGGAUUUGGUUUCCAAUUUAUUUUGGACUCAGUUAUUUUAUUUGGGGUUUCUACAUCUAUGAAUAGUCCAUAAAAAUAAUUAUUUUGGAGAUUAGGCAGAGGUGAAGACCAGGCUAUCAAAGUAUAAAGUUGUCAAUACUUUUUAGAAUUCUUUUCUUCUUCUUCUUCUUAUUUUCUUAGAGAUUAGUAGCUAAAGCCCUUGUUCUGGGGCUGUAGCUACGAAUCGAAUGUUGAAUAUUUAAGGUUUUUGAAUUAAUUUUUGGUUGUCAUUAUAAGUUACUUCUAUAUUCUUGUUUUAGUAUUUCUUGACUGGCUAUCUAGAGAUAAUAUAUUGUCUAAUCUUAAAAUCGAGAGAGGAGGGAUUAGUUAGACCAGAGAAUAUAGAGAGCUCGAU
rnacentral:lncRNA from 1 species